UUAUAGAAACGGUUUAGUGUCUUUGGAAAAGUCCGUUAUCAUUUUAGCAGUUUUCAGAUGUUUGUUUGUGUAAAUGCUGUGUGCGCGUUGAGUCCUGCGCGAGCGGGGAGCAGAGUUGCCAUGGAAACGGGGCGUCAACACAAAAACCGUUACUGGCAAACAGUAAUCUCCUUCUCUCGCUGCGGUUUACACUGUUUUAGGAGGACAGAAAGAAACUCUACAGAACAGAAGUGAAGCUCCAAGAUUUCAACAUUUAUGAAGGGAGAUACUGACUUAGAAAUACAGGUGAACUGAAGAAGCUCAUGAAAUACAUGAAUAUGCCUUUUUCAGAAUACAUUUCACCAAUUUUAAGAAGUCCCUGACAUCAUGACAUUGCUUGUUUUGUUCCUGGACUCUUCAGUGAUGACGAUCAGAGUCUGAGUGAACCUGCUGUCAGACAGGUUGGCCUGAUUGACGAUGCCAUCGUCCAUCGCCGAUAGCUGAUAGACAUCACGAUGCUGCGCUGGCAAACAGCGUCAUCAGCUCCAGUAUCUCGCCCGUGCAUCUGUUGUCAUGCGACAGAGAAGUCACGUUCUAUAGAGAGUUUCUACAGACAGUUGUGAACGUGCUGACAGCUGGUUGCCCAGGCUAUGGAUUAAAGGUAAUACUGUUGGCCAGCAGAGCCCUGCUCACCCUGACGGCCCACCGCUGCUGUCAGACAACAUCUCAAAGAUGCUAUAAACUGCAGGACUAGAUCGCCAUCCCAAGGUUUCUAGAGAUUACAGCAGCUCCAGACUGAAUCCAAACUCACUUGUGAAGACUUCAGAUGACACCAACGCUCACAAAGACUACAGACGACAACUGUACAUGAACACACAAAACAUUGGACACACAAAACAAUUAUUAUCCUUAUUUUGCCUAUAAGGGUAAAUUUGAUGAUUUUCAAACUGCUUUAUUGUAACG